rnacentral:rRNA from 1 species
GCUCCUACCGAUUGAGUGAUCCGGUGAAUAAUUCGGACUGCAGCAAUGUUUAGUUCCUGAACGUUGCCGUGGAAAGUCUGGUGAACCUUAUCACUUAGAGGAAGGAGAAGUCGUAACAAGGUUUCCGUAG